rnacentral:misc_RNA from 1 species
GAUGAAGAACGUAGUGAAAUGCGAUAAGUAAUGUGAAUUGCAGAAUUCAGUGAAUCAUCGAAUCUUUGAACGCACAUUGCGCCCGCCAGUAUUCUGGCGGGCAUGCCUGUUCGAGCGUCAUUACAACCCUCAGGCCCCCGGGCCUGGCGUUGGGGAUCGGCGAGGCGCCCCCCGCGGGCACGCGCCGUCCCCCAAAUACAGUGGCGGUCCCGCCGCAGCUUCCAUUGCGUAGUAGCUAACACCUCGCAACUGGAGAGCGGCGCGGCCAUGCCGUAAAACACCCAACUUCUGAAUGUUGACCUCGAAUCAGGUAGGAAUACCCGCUGAACUUAAGCAUAUCAUAAGCGGAGGA